rnacentral:rRNA from 1 species
AUUGAACGCUGGCGGCAUGCCUUACACAUGCAAGUCGAACGGCAGCGCGGGGCAACCUGGCGGCGAGUGGCGAACGGGUGAGUAAUAUAUCGGAACGUGCCCUGGAGUGGGGGAUAACGUAGCGAAAGUUACGCUAAUACCGCAUACGAUCCAAGGAUGAAAGCAGGGGACCUUCGGGCCUUGUGCUCCUGGAGCGGCCGAUAUCUGAUUAGCUAGUUGGUGGGGUAAAAGCCUACCAAGGCGACGAUCAGUAGCUGGUCUGAGAGGACGACCAGCCACACUGGAACUGAGACACGGUCCAGACUCCUACGGGAGGCAGCAGUGGGGAAUUUUGGACAAUGGGGGCAACCCUGAUCCAGCAAUGCCGCGUGUGUGAAGAAGGCCUUCGGUUGUAAG